UACGUAGGUCCCGAGCGUUGUCCGGAUUUAUUGGGCGUAAAGCGAGCGCAGGUGGUUUAUUAAGUCUGGUGUAAAAGGCAGUGGCUCAACCAUUGUAUGCAUUGGAAACUGGUAGACUUGAGUGCAGGAGAGGAGAGUGGAAUUCCAUGUGUAGCGGUGAAAUGCGUAGAUAUAUGGAGGAACACCGGUGGCGAAGGCGGCCUGCUGGACUGCAACUGACGUUGAGGCCCGAAAGCGUGGGGAGCAAACAGG
rnacentral:rRNA from 1 species